AGGACGAACGCUGGCGGCGUGCUUAACACAUGCAAGUCGAGCGGAAAGGCCCUUCGGGGUACUCGAGCGGCGAACGGGUGAGUAACACGUGAGUAAUCUGCCCCUAGCUCUGGGAUAGCUCCGGGAAACCGGGAUUAAUACCAGAUACGACCACUUUAGACAUCUUCUGUGGUGGAAAGAACUUCGGCUAGGGAUGAACUCGCGGCCUAUCAGCUUGUUGGUGAGGUAACGGCUCACCAAGGCGACGACGGGUAGCCGGCCUGAGAGGGCGACCGGCCACACUGGGACUGAGACACGGCCCCAGACUCCUACGGGAGGCAGCAGUGGGGAAUAUUGCGCAAUGGGCGAAAGCCUGACGCAGCGACGCCGCGUGGGGGAUGAAGGCCUUCGGUUGUAACCCCUUCAGCAGGACGAAGCGAAGUGACGGUACCUGCAGAAGAAGCGCCGGCUAACUACGUGCCAGCAGCCGC
rnacentral:rRNA from 1 species